ensembl:lncRNA
GCUGCGUUGAGAUCCAAUCAGGCUGUAUUCUUCUUUUCACUAUGCUUCACGGUCUUCUAACUUAUGUGACCAAAUCGGAGAGACUAUUUGCUUUGGAAAUAUUUUUGAGCUAUCCUAUGUGUAUAUGGAGAAAAUUAUUGCAGUUAACUUUUUUUUCUGUUGGCAAAUGCUGUAUUGGCUUUUUCUGUAUAUAUUGAGGGCUUUUACAAUUUUGUCUCUUGUACUAUCGUUCAUCAUUUUUUAGAUACCAUUUUCUAAAGUCCAAUUAUUCACAAUGUAUAUUGUCUAAAUAGAUCUAGUGAACAUCAGUCUAUAAAGACUUCCUUGUAUCAUCACUCACGCAUUGUAAAAGAUAUAUGAUCUGCUGACUGUACAUUGUAUAUAGUUGUAAAACAAACAAAAGCUGGUCAAAUUAAAUAAAACCCAAGUGAAGACUUAAAAGAUUAGCUAGGAGGUAUAAUUGCAUACAUAUGUACAAAAAAAGAACCCGAAAAGGAUGCAAUCGAGCUGCAUUGGAUUUACCAUUGACCCUACUUCAUUCACUAUGGAUGUGUCGUCUUUACUUCUACAAAGAUGGUAGGCUACUGGUCGGGGUUCCUUUUGGGUGUUGUCUGAAUGAUGAACUGAACUACUGAGAAAACCUAAGCACAGUGCUGCACCGCAGCAGAAGUGGCGCCUUGCUUUAUCUGCUCAUUGUACCCGUGCCCUCCUUCCAAGAGGAGCAGGUUUUCCUUCUGGCCCCAUUUUGGUUUUGCUUUCUGCCCUCUUUCACCAUUUGAUCUGUUAAACUCAUUUCAGCCUUCAAAUUUAUUCUUGAAAUGAUGCCCUGUGGUCUUGGCAUGUUGGCUGUCACGGUUGCCUGGUUACCUUUCUUUCUUUCUUUUUUUUUUUUUUUUUUGGCUGGCAUUUACCACCUUUCCCCAAAAGCAUUGUGUCUCAAGCAAGCACAGAUUUUCACCUUGCCGUUAGGGUCAGUAGGUCUGAAUUGAAAUAGUUUUGUUUAGAGCUGGUAGGCUGUCUUUACUUUUUGUCCCUUAUCAUUGACUUUAUUUGCCUCUGCAUGGCACAGCUUCUCUUUGUAGUCACUGAUACAAAAGAAGGGGCUGUAACAAAUCACGACAAACAGAUCCGUACCCUUAUUGUUUAAAAUUCUACUUAACAUGGCAUGAUACGGUGAAGGAAGGCAUUCUUUUCUGUUUUCUCAUCAUGGAUUGCUGCUUCACUGCCCCAAAACACACCUGGGACCAGCCUGUGAUACCUGAUAAUGACCACUAGAGGGAGCUGUGCAAAAUGGAAGGCUGACGGGAAACAAGUUGCAUUCAUCAAUUCCUGUUUCUUUUGUCUUAUUCAAACUGUAUGUACCUUUAUUAGAUGUGAUCAGUUCUUUCCACGAAUCGCAAAUUCAUGCUGUUCUAAAUGUUGGAAAUGAAGCCAACAUCAGCGCUUUGGACAUUGUAACUUAAAGGAAGAAGGGAAGUGUGUGUGUGUGUGUGUGUGUGUGUGUGU